rnacentral:rRNA from 1 species
AGCGAACGCUGGCGGCAGGCUUAACACAUGCAAGUCGAGCGGGCGUAGCAAUACGUCAGCGGCAGACGGGUGAGUAACGCGUGGGAACAUACCUUUUGGUUCGGAACAACACAGGGAAACUUGUGCUAAUACCGGAUAAGCCCUUACGGGGAAAGAUUUAUCGCCGAAAGAUUGGCCCGCGUCUGAUUAGCCAGUUGGUGAGGUAACGGCUCACCAAGGCGACGAUCAGUAGCUGGUCUGAGAGGAUGAUCAGCCACAUUGGGACUGAGACACGGCCCAAACUCCUACGGGAGGCAGCAGUGGGGAAUCUUGCGCAAUGCGCGGAAGCGUGACGCAGCAACGCCGCGUGAGGGAAGACGGCCU